rnacentral:lncRNA from 1 species
UUAUGCAGUGCAAAUGCAGAUAGAGGUAGGGCUUAACCUCGAAAGGCAGAAUAGUAGCCUUAUGCAAGUUGGAAGGCAGAGUAGUAGCCUUAUGCAAUGCAAAUGCAGAUAGAGGUAGAGCUUAACCUCGGAAGGUAGAAUAGUAGCCUUAUGCAAGUUGGAACGGAGAAUAGUAGCCUUAUGCAAGAAAUAAAAUAGCGAAUGGCAGUAGAGUUUCUUAGCUGAUAGCAGAUUGUGGCGUGGUGAUUACUGGGAGAAUUAUGACAUACAAAACAUUAUGGGUGUGUGCAGAUAGUAGAUUGUUG